UACGUAGGGUGCAAGCGUUAUCCGGAAUUAUUGGGCGUAAAGAGCUCGUAGGCGGUUUGUCACGUCUGCUGUGAAAACUGGAGGCUCAACCUCCAGCCUGCAGUGGGUACGGGCAGACUAGAGUGCGGUAGGGGGGAUUGGAAUUCCUGGUGUAGCGGUGGAAUGCGCAGAUAUCAGGAGGAACACCGAUGGCGAAGGCAGAUCUCUGGGCCGUAACUGACGCUGAGGAGCGAAAGCAUGGGGAGCGAACAGG
rnacentral:rRNA from 1 species